UGCAAGUCGAACGAGAAAACAGGGGCUUGCUCCUGGGUUCUAGUGGCAGACGGGUGAGUAACGCGUGGACAAUCUACCUCCGAGCGGGGGAUACCCAACCGAAAGGUUGGUUAAUACCGCAUAAUACUCUGAGUACUUCGGUACUUGGGCUCAAAGUUGGGGACUUGGGAAACCAGGCCUGACACUUGGAGAGGAGUUCGCGUCAGAUUAGUUAGUUGGUGGGGUAAUGGCCUACCAAGACAUCGAUCUGUAGCCGGCCUGAGAGGGUGAUCGGCCACACUGGAACUGAGACACGGUCCAGACUCCUACGGGAGGCAGCAGUGGGGAAUUUUGCGCAAUGGGGGAAACCCUGACGCAGCAACGCCGCGUGGGUGAUGACGCAUCUUGGUGUGUAAAGCCCUGUCAGAAGGGAAUAAGGUUGCUUGUUUAAUAAUCGAGUAACUUGACUGUACCUUCAGAGGAAGCCCCGGCUAACUCCGUGCCAGCAGCCGCGGUAAUACGGAGGGGGCAAGCGUUAUUCGGAUUUACUGGGCGUAAAGGGCGCGUAGGCGGCCUGGUCAGUGAGAAGUGAAAGCCCUCGGCUCAACCGAGGAACUGCUUCUCAUACUGCCAGGCUAGAGAGUGGGAGAGGAAAGUGGAAUAUCCGGUGUAGCGGUGAAAUGCGUAGAGAUCGGAUGGAACACCAGUGGCGAAGGCGACUUUCUGGACCACAACUGACGCUGAGGCGCGAAAGCGUGGGGAGCAAACAGGAUUAGAUACCCUGGUAGUCCACGCCCUAAACGAUGAAUACUUUGUGCAGCGGGUAUCGACCCCUGCUGUGCAGGAGCUAACGCAUUAAGUAUUCCGCCUGGGGAGUACGGUCGCAAG
rnacentral:rRNA from 1 species